rnacentral:rRNA from 1 species
UCCGUAGGCGGGCGAUUAAGUCAGAGGUGAAAUCCCACAGCUCAACUGUGGAACUGCCUUUGAUACUGGUUGUCUUGAGUUACAGUGAAGUAGAUAGAAUAUGUAGUGUAGCGGUGAAAUGCAUAGAUAUUACAUAGAAUACCGAUUGCGAAGGCAGUCUACUAACUGUAUACUGACGCUAAUGGACGAAAGCGUGGGGAGCGAACAGGAUUAGAUACCCUGGUAGUCC